rnacentral:rRNA from 1 species
CGCAGCCGCGGUAAUUCCAGCUCCAAUAGCGUAUAUUAAAGUUGUUGCAGUUAAAAAGCUCGUAGUUGAAUUUCAGGCCUGGCUGGACGGUCCGCCCUUCGGGUGAGUACUGUCUGUGGUCGGGUCCUACCUUCUGGCGAAGCGUCAUGGCCUUAACCGGCCGUGGCGGGGAACCAGGACUUUUACUGUGAAAAAAUUAGAGUGUUCAAAGCAGGCAAUCGCUUGGAUACAUUAGCAUGGAAUAAUGGAAUAGGACAAUGGUUCUAUUUGUUGGUUUCUAGGACCGUUGUAAUGAUUAAUAGGGAUAGUUGGGGGCAUUAGUAUUCAAUUGUCAGAGGUGAAAUUCUUGGAUUUAUUGAAGACUAACUACUGCGAAAGCAUUUGCCAAGGAUGUUUUCAUUAAUCAAGAACGAAAGUUAGGGGAUCGAAGACGAUCAGAUACCGUCGUAGUCUUAACCAUAAACUAUGCCGACUAGGAAUCGGGCGAUGUUGAAAAAUGACGCGCUCGGCACCUCAUGG